AUCGCUUCUCGGACAUUUGGCUAAGAUCAAGUGUAGUAUCUGUUCUUAUCGGUUUAAUAUCCGAUAUGUCACCUACCCGGUGACCAUAUAUUAAACAAAUUUGGAACAGGGAGAUGGAAU
ensembl:snRNA U2 U2 spliceosomal RNA